rnacentral:rRNA from 1 species
GAUGAACGCUGGCGGCGUGCCUAAUACAUGCAAGUCGAACGAAACUUCUUUAUCACCGAGUGCUUGCACUCACCGAUAAAAAGUUGAGUGGCGAACGGGUGAGUAACACGUGGGCAACCUGCCCAAAAGAGGGGGAUAACACUUGGAAACAGGUGCUAAUACCGCAUAACCAUAGUUACCGCAUGGUAACUAUGUAAAAGGUGGCUAUACUACCGCUUUUGGAUGGGCCCGCGGCGCAUUAGCUAGUUGGUAGGGUAAAGGCUUACCAAGGCAAUGAUGCGUAGCCGAAUUGAGAGGUUGAUCGGCCACAUUGGGACUGAGACACGGCCCAAACUCCUACGGGAGGCAGCAGUAGGGAAUCUUCCACAAUGGGCGAAAGCCUGAUGGAGCAACGCCGCGUGGGUGAAGAAGGUCUUCGGAUCGUAAAACCCUGUUGUUAGAGAAGAAAGUGCGUGAGAGUAACUGUUCACGUUUCGACGGUAUCUAACCAGAAAGCCACGGCUAACUACGUG